rnacentral:rRNA from 1 species
GAGCGGUAGAGAGAAGCUUGCUUCUCUUGAGAGCGGCGGACGGGUGAGUAAUGCCUAGGAAUCUGCCUGGUAGUGGGGGAUAACGUCCGGAAACGGACGCUAAUACCGCAUACGUCCUACGGGAGAAAGCAGGGGACCUUCGGGCCUUGCGCUAUCAGAUGAGCCUAGGUCGGAUUAGCUAGUUGGUGAGGUAAUGGCUCACCAAGGCGACGAUCCGUAACUGGUCUGAGAGGAUGAUCAGUCACACUGGAACUGAGACACGGUCCAGACUCCUACGGGAGGCAGCAGUGGGGAAUAUUGGACAAUGGGCGAAAGCCUGAUCCAGCCAUGCCGCGUGUGUGAAGAAGGUCUUCGGAUUGUAAAGCACUUUAAGUUGGGAGGAAGGGUUGUAGAUUAAUACUCUGCAAUUUUGACGUUACCGACAGAAUAAGCACCGGCUAACUCUGUG